ACUGCUCCUGUCUCUUGAGAGCGAAGAGAGUGAGUGGUGUUGUUCGUUAGCAUCUACAACUCCGAUUCCACCUUCCCUGCUACGCCGUUCCUUUUGUCCUCCAUGUUCUCAGCUGUGUUCCUCUGAUUAGCCGCUGGCUGAGAAUUGCACAAUCGCUGUUUUACCCGCAUCUGAGGACUCUUGGCAACAUCAGCUCCUCCAGUGCAACCGAUUUACGGAGGAGGCGAGAGUAAAAAGAGAGAGAGAGAGAAGAGAACAGGAAAUAAGAGAAAGAAGAAGAAGAAGAAGAAGAAGAAGAAGAAGAAGGAGACGAAAAGCUCUCUGGGUUUUCUUUGAUCGCUGACCAAGCCUGUUACUUAGCCUCCAUUGGUAUGGGGAGUUUGCGGAGCUGCUGCCUCUGGUAUGCUCCUUGCUUCUUCCUGAUGGCCCCGUGUUUGCAUGUUUAUAAUUAUGUUGUAGUUUAGUUUGACAAUUGCAAACAAAUAAAGCAUAACUGGAUGAUAAGUGAAUUGGUUAGUGUAGGCAAGAUUAUUCUGAUAAUCAUGUUGUAGUUUAGUUCUAUUAGUGCUCUUUAAUUUGGUGGCUUACCUUUUGACAAUGUUGUAUGUAAGACAUCUAUUUUAUUUGAUGAAGUCAGAAGAACCUUUUGUUUA